CAUCAACGGAUGGUCAAGCAACCGAGCAGUCACCCCUUGAAACCAUUUAUAAUUUCCUCCACUACAGCUACUUCAAACUAUUCAUCUCAGCCUUCGUCUCAUCCAUCUCUCAGCCGAUGUUGCCUCCUCCGCCAACGCCGCGAACCACCGCGACCUGUAGUAGACGCAACUGCCGACGUCGCCAUUCCGUCUCGACCUACUACUGACCCUACUAGCCUCCGCCACCGCCACUGCGUGCUGGCCUCCACCACCGCUGAUCUGGACGGAUUUGCUCCCUUUUCUCUCAAAAUAUACUCACCGGAAGAAGUAGAACCGGAGAUUCAAGCUUAUAGUCGGCAGGCAUCGCCUCAAACCGACGACGCUCCUCCUUUCGCUAGUCGUCGCCUCAAACCGACGGGGGAGGUAAGGGUGAAAUUUUGCUUGCUUUCACUAGACUGGCGGAGUUUAACAAACUGAGUUUUGGUGCUGAUAGGUGAAUGCUGUGAAGUUUAAUGAUUAUGCUACUGUAGUUGUAUCUUCUGGUUAUGAUAAAUCUUUGCGUGUCUGGGACUGCAAAUCUCACAGCACUGAACCAAUUCAGUAUGCAGAUCAGAUAAUAGUUUGGAGAUUGAAUCAGAAGUUAAAUUUCAGCCGAUGCCACUGUUCAAAAAGAAAUUAAUUCCCUUUCUUUUUUGUUUUUUUUUUCUUUCUCUGUCAAUCAUUAAUGAUUAUUAUCCUCGAUGAAUCGCUGAUUCUAUUACUGGUAAUCAAAACAGAAAGCUAAGAUUGAAGAGGGUAACAAGAGUUCCAGCCAUAAGCAUGAAGCUUUCAGACAUUCCACCCGAUGAUUAUUCAUGGCGGAAAUAUGGACAUAAGCCCAUCAAAGGAUCCCCACACCCAAGGUUUUGAUUUAUCGAAAUGAAGGUGAAAGGUGCUUGAAAGAAACAUCUAUUAAUUCACUGAGGAUAAGCCUCAAGGCCCCAAGUACAGUGCAGGCAAAUGCUGAAUCAGAUGCAAAGGCAUCUGAAGGGAAGGAAAAUGUUUCUGGGAAAAAUCAAAGGGAAGUUCUGGUGGCAAAGCCGAAAGCAAAAAAGCAGCUUCUAUCUCAGGAAAUGAUGGUGCCACCCAAAGGGCUACUAGAACAUGCUCUAUUGUUGUUGAGGAAUCGAUGAGAAGCCUUGAUGAGAAGUUAGCAUCUGCUCUCGAUGAGUGCAACGCUAAAGAUGAAUUAGUCACAAAGUUCACAAAAAUGGCGGAAGAAGCCAUUGCAGCUCACAAGAAAGCGGAGGCUGAAAUUAUGUGUUUGAAGGAAGAGUUAGAAGAAUGGAAGGCUAACUCACCUUACCAGUGCAUUGAAGGAUUGUAUGCAGAAAUGAAGGAAGAGCUGGCUAUUUAUGGACCUAUAUCAAAUGAUAUCUCCUCCAUAUCAAGCCAUGAAUCGAAGAAGGAACAUCAAAGUGUUUCUACUGAAGCUUGGGCUUGUGCUUUGAUAUCUGAACUAGAGCAUUUCAAGAAUCAUAAGGACCAGAAGAGUAACUCUGAACAGAAAAUGAUUGGAGUUUCAGAGAUGAGGCUAAUGGAUGAUUUUGUCGAAAUGGAAAAACUAGCAAUAGUAGCAAAUAUCUUCAAACAUAUUGAUGAAUGAAUUCUCUUCAAGAA